AUUAAAAAGAAAACCGGGGGCAGAGGAGGAGGAGGGAUGACAAGCGCCUGCAGGUGCAGGGAGGCUAAAUUCCCUGCAGGGGUCAUGUGCUCUGGGAGCCGGGGAUCCUCGGCUCCCCGGAGGCUGCCGGGGCCGGGGCCGGGCGGGGGCGCAGUGCGGCGCGGCCCGCGGGGGCGGCUCGGCGGGGGCUGCGGGCACCCCGCCUGGCACCUGCGGGAGCGGCGGUUCGGAGCGGUGCUGCGGGGCUCCGCAGCCGGCUGGGAAUGUUCACGAAUCACUCGCACCUUGCAAACUCCGCCGUCAAAUCAACUUUAAAGAGCAGAUUCUCAGUCCGGGAGGCAAAGAGGCAGGGGAGGAGAGGGGAAAUGGUUUAGGAACAGCGGCUGCCAAGUGGGUGAAGUUCGGGGCACAAUCCUGGCUCUUCCACGCUCCAGCAGCCCAGCAUCUUCCCGGGAUCUGGAGAACAAGCCUCGAAGUGAUUCUGCACCUCAAGUCAUUCUGGGACAGUCUCAGAGGAAGACAGGAGAAGGGGAGAAGACAGCGUGUUGCUGGUUGACUGGAUACAGCCCAGAGGAGAAAGGCAAAGAGAAAGCUUUUGGGGUAAGAAUUCUAGCAGUUCCCACUCCCACCUCCAGAUGAAUGCUGCCUUCCAUCCUUGCCUGGCACUUGAUUAGAUAUCCCUCAGGUAGGCCUCAAGGAAAAAAGUCAAAUAUGGAUUACACAAACUGUUUUCUUUUGGUGGACUUACGUCACCAAACUUAAGCAAGUGGCGUUCAGUCUAUCAAGUCCAAAGUCUUUUCAUCAGAAGAGAAGAAGGUCCUGAUCUAAAACUUGUGAAGGUCAAGAGGAAUCCUUACAUCGCGUUCAGCCAUCCCUCACUUUGGGAUUCCAGAAGUAGGCCUUGGGACCUGGAGUUAAGGCCCUACGAAACACAGCUGUACUCAGAGAUAGACUUGAAGUGUUUUCAGGCUUAUGGAUUUAGACUGGGUAUUUGCCUCACAUGAGUCAAUAACUGAAAUCAUCAGGCAAAAGACCUUCAAUAAAUACAGCUCAGUUUGCAAACA